GGUUACUUAACACAUGGACCCCAGCUGAGCAAUGUCAUUUGGAUCAGUGUCUUCCAAGGAACAUCAUUUGCCCAAAAAAUAAUCUUCCAUACAUGUCCAUUGUAGUCAGCCAGAUGCUCAUAGCUUACAAGAGCACCUUGGAAAAUAGUGGUUCUCAUCUCCACCACCUACACAGAAUUGUGCACAACUUUGUAACAACUCUUCUCAACAGUAGAUAUGCCUUUUAUACUGUUCAAAAAUAUUGUGCGUAAUGGUCCCCAAGGAACCCGGUCAUUCCACCCAUCACAACCUACUUUCAUUGAAGAGCUUAAUGACCAGUGCACAAAAGCACAUUUGGAGACACUUGCCAAA